rnacentral:rRNA from 1 species
GAUGAACGCUGGCGGCGUGCCUAACACAUGCAAGUCGAGCGAGGAAAGAUAGCUUGCUAUCAAUCCUAGCGGCGGACGGGUGAGUAACGCGUGGGUAACCUGCCCUAUACACAUGGAUAACGUACCGAAAGGUAUGCUAAUACAAGAUGAAACAUUGAUAAGGCAUCUUAUUAAUGUCAAAGCCUUGGCGGUAUAGGAUGGGCCCGCGUCCCAUUAGUUAGUUGGUGAGGUAACGGCUCACCAAGACCACGAUGGGUAGCCGACCUGAGAGGGUGAUCGGCCACACUGGAACUGAGACACGGUCCAGACUCCUACGGGAGGCAGCAGUGGGGAAUAUUGCACAAUGGGCGAAAGCCUGAUGCAGCAACGCCGCGUGAGCGAUGAAGGCCUUCGGGUCGUAAAGCUCUGUCCUCAAGGAAGAAUUUUGACGGUACUUGAGGAGGAAGCCCCGGCUAACUACGUGCCAGCAGCCGCGGUAACAC